CCCCGGGAGAGAGCGGGUAUCAAGCCCCGCCGCCGAAGGCGCAACCGCCCCGGAAACGCUCAGGCAAAAGGGCCGGGAGA
rnacentral:ncRNA from 1 species